GUACAUGCCAUUUUCAUUUUGUUAUUUUCUUUCUCUCUCUUCAACCAAAUGAAACUUGAGAAGCUCUCCUCCCCAACAAACCCUAGCCGCCGCAACAAUAACACUGUUCACGGCAUUCUACGCCCAUUUUGACCGCCUUUGGCCGAGUUACCCUCACAAUCUUCAUCUAUUUCUUCUCUUCCAUCAUCCUAUUAAGUUUAUUGUCAGAUCUGAUAGACUUUUAAACAUCCCAACCACCAUCUUCUUUGAUAGAUCUCGACCAAUAUAGACAAUAUUUUGAAAAACUAUCACAACAAAAAGAGUCUCCUCUAUCUCCUCUACAAAACCCACAAAGAAAAUCAUGUGUCCAAAUACCUUCGCCGGCGACCACCGUGCCGGAAAUUGAAGCCUUCACCGUUGGUGUAACAUUUAAGGCGCACUUAUUACUGCCGGUGUACUAACGGCCGGCUUAAUCAGCUUUAGACAAGGUAAUUCUCAAUUAGGUCAGAAGUUAAUGAGGGCUCGUGUGGUUGUCCAAGGUGCUACAGUGGCGCUCAUGGUUGGCACUGCCUAUUAUUAUGGAGACAAUCCUUGGCAAAAAAAAUAAACUUUUAGUAGCUAACUAACAGUCAAAGCAAAACUUUGUAAUUGCUUGGUUUUUUGUUUGUAUUGAGUUUUGUUUAUGUGAAGUGAAAUUUGUUCAUUUGAGGACAAAAUCCUUGCUCACGUCUUACGUUUGAAUCAUUUUCUUUCAAUACAUAAUAAUUGAAUUCAUAUGGAUGUACUUUGAUAUAUACUAUGGUUGUUUCAAUAAAAGAAAAGACUCUCAGUUUACUGUUGUUGCCCUGAAGAAGCAGAGUGAAAUUGGGUGCUGUCUUUGAACCUUCAAGGAUACUGUAUUUGGCAUCAAUAUUUUGAUGUCCAAGCAUCAUUUCUAAUUAAGAUUUAUCAUCUUUAUCUCUCACGUUUCUAGAGUUUAUGUAGUCUAGUAUGGAGGAAUCUAAACCCUAAAUGGUAUUGAUUCAUUUAGGACAAGAAUAUAUUGAUGUAAGGGGAUCGGAUCUAGAGUAAGGGGUUUACACUAUCACAAAGCGAUGAAUCGAUGUUCGAAUUUGGUACAAGAGAUUUAUUCAUAUUUUAGUGUUCAACAUGUUUUGAAUGUACUUCUCGUAAACAAAAUCUAGAAAUCGGAAAAAUGGUAUUGAUUUUUAGGUGAACUGGAAUUUCAAAACAUAAAAAAAUUAUUUUUUGUACAUUAAAUUGCUGUGAAAAAAUGAUACAAACACUCUUCCGAUUAAAUUGCUGUGAAGACACAGUGGAUUCUCUAAACAUCUUUCCUCCACCAAUAUGCAAUGUUACUCAAUUACGCUAUCUGCUUUGUCCAGGUUCGUACUGGAGCAGC
rnacentral:lncRNA from 1 species